CCCUCAUCUACAAGCCCCGUAGCCGCCCACGUAACUGUUGUCCCCGGUUCGAAUCCCGCCCUCACCUACAAGCCCCGUACCCGCCCACGUAACUGCUGGACCCGGUUCGAAUCCCGCCCUCACCUACAAGCCCCGUACCCGCCCACGUAAAUGCUGGACCCGGUUCGAACCCCGCCCUCACCUACAAGCCCCGUAGCCGCCCGGCCCCGGUUCGAACCCUGGCCUCUGCUGCAUGUUACAAGUGACCUCGCCUCCACCCCAGGGUAACCAGCGUGUCACAUAUACAAAGGAAGGAUCGUGUGAGACUUCAAUGACCUCCGGCAGUACUUCGAGGUCAACAUCACCACGUCAGAGUACUUAAGAGCUGCCGUGACCAAGGCCUAUCUCAGCGCCUGUGUCCCGUCCCCCACACCCAGGAGCUGCCGUGACCAAGGCCUAUCUCAGCGCCUGUGUCCUGUCCCCCACACCCAGGAGCUGCCGUGACCAAGGCCUAUCUCAGCGCCUGUGUCCCGUCCCCCACACCCAGGGGCUGCCGUGACCAAGGCCUAUCUCAGCGCCUGUGUCCCGUCCCCCACACCCAGGAGCUGCCGUGACCAAGGCCUAUCUCAGCGCCUGUGUCCCGUCCCCCACACCCAGGAGCCGCGAUGAUACUGUUCAGAGUGCUAGGGAGGAUAGGUCAUCACUGGUUAGCUGGUGUUGGGAGAGCGGGGCACCACCACAAUCUAUUAUAUCAAGUUCUUUAUAUUACAGCAACACUUAUAAAGUAACUCAAUCCUUUUCCCUUGAAGCAAUAGUUCCAACACCUUUGAUUUAGUGAUUGAAUGUUUCUGUCCCACACUUUUCAUUUCCCUGUUUCCUCUGACCCAUUCUCUCUCCUCCUCCUCCUCCUCCUCUCUGUCUAUCUUCAUCCCUUCCUUCCUUUUAAUUAAUGUCUAAGUUAUCCUUUGUGUGAUGUUCCUUCUGGUGGUCAAAUCUUGCAUCCAAUUUCCCUUCGUCUAUUCUCUCUCCUCCUCCUCCUCCUCCUCUUCCUCCUCCUCCUCUCUGUCUAUCUUCAUUCCUUCCUUCCUUUUAAUUAAUGUCUAAGUUAUCCUUUGCGUGAUGUUCCUUCUGGUGGUCAAAUCUUGCAUCCAAUUUCCCUUCGUCUAUUCUCCUCUUCCUCCUCCUCCUCCUCCUCUUCCUCCUCCUCCUCCUCCUCUCUGUCUAUCUUCAUUCCUUCCUUCCUUUUAAUUAAUGUCUAAGUUAUCCUUUGUGUGAUGUUCCUUCUGGUGGUCAAAUCUUGCAUCCAAUUUCCCUUCGUCUAUUCUCUCUCCUCCUCCUCUUCCUCCUCCUCCUCUUCCUCCUCCUCCUCUUCCUCCUCCUCCUCUCUGUCUAUCUUCAUUCCUUCCUUCCUUUUAAUUAAUGUCUAAGUUAUCCUUUGUGUGAUGUUCCUUCUGGUGGUCAAAUCUUGCAUCUAAUUUCCCUUCGUCUAUUCUCUCUCCUCCUCCUCCUCCUCUUCCUCCUCCUCCUCCUCUCUGUCUAUCUUCAUCCCUUCCUUCCUUUUAAUUAAUGUCUAAGUUAUCCUUUGAGUGAUGUUCCUUCUGGUGGUCAAAUCUUGCAUCUAAUUUCCCUUCGUCUAUUCUCUCUCCUCCUCCUCCUCCUCCUCCUCUCUGUCUAUCUUCAUCCCUUCCUUUUAAUUAAUGUCUAAGUUAUCUUUUGCUGUUUGUGGUGUCCGGCUCUGCUUGCUAGUUAGUUUUGUCACUGUAUAAUUGUCAAUCCUAGCUAGUUUUGUCACUGUAUAAUUGUCAGUCCUAGUUUGCUUUGUCCCUGUAUAAUGGUCAGUCCUAGUUUGCUUUGUCCCUGUAUAAUGGUCGGUCCCAGUCAGGCGCCUCUUCCAUGUAAAGAUCUCGGCAGCUUCAAGCCUUGCCGAUAUCUCGAUCCGUACGUGAAUGUAAAUUAACCGAAAUCCUUGUUACUAAGCCCUGCACGGUGCUCUCUCUCAUAAUGCUUCUUUAAAUUUUCAAUCUCACUUAACUUCCGGGGUUAGUAAUAUAUUUUCCCAUGCGUUAACUACCCCGUGAUGGCCAGUUUCAUGCACUAUAUAUAAGCGAUUUGCCUUUUCCAUGGCUAUAAUUCUGCAUCCGUGUCUAAGGCCCAGUUUCACAGUUCCUCAUGAUGGGUUAGUAAGCUCCAAAACCAAUACCAGAGCCUUCGAAAUUUCCUUGUACGGUGUCUGGAGUUUAUAUUCAAGUUCACAGAUUUGACGAGACUAUACAGGAAAGGUCUUGUGUGUUUAUGGUACGUAGGAAAGGGAGGGGAAGGGAGAUGAGAUUGAGAGACGAGUGAGCUGAGAUGGUGUUUAUAUUCAAGUUCACAAGUUUGACGAGACUAUACAGGAAAGGUUUUGUGUGUUUAUGGUACGUAGGAAAGGGAGGGGAGGGGAGAUGAGAUUGAGAGACGAGUGAGCUGAGAUGGUGUUUAUAUUCAAGUUCACAAGUUUGAUGAGACUAUACAGGAAAGGUCUUGUGUGUUUAUGCUACUAAGGAAAGGGAGGAGAAGGGAGAUGAGGUUGAGAGAUGAGAUCCUGUUUAUAUUCAAGUUCACAAGUUUGACGAGACUAUACAGGAAAGGUCUUGUGUGUUUAUGCUACUAAGGAAAGGGAGGAGAAGGGAAAUGAGGUAGAGAGAUGAGAUCCUGUUUAUAUUCAAGAUCACAAAUUUGACAACACUAUACAGGAAAAGCUCUGUGUAUUUAGUGUGUCAUCGAAGACGGUGCCAUUUAGAACAGUAUGGGAUUCUAUAGCUUGGUUCGGGAGUGUUACAAAGACCAUGAUGGACUGUGGAAGCGGCCCUUAAUGUUCCCUUUUCUAAUAUGCCUCUCUGUUUUUGCAGGAUGCCGCGGACGGACCAUGCAGAGGACUCAUCGCGACGACACCAACGGUUUGGUUAAGUGGGUUCUCUUGUGUGUGCGUCUGUGUGUGAAUGGCAGGCCUGUCGUAUGAUUGUGUGUGUGCGCGCGCUGGGCGUUAUGCCUUCGCGCUAUUAUUUUGUUAGGAUGUAUUUUUGUGUGUGAACUUUUUGCACGUAAUCUUUUUUUACACCCAUAGCUAGCGUUUGUUUGUGUGUUGCUGUGUUCCGGGAGAUGGGCGCCGGGGGACAUGGGCUUGGGGGGGCGCACGUGACCACCUCUGUCCGUGAUCUCUUCAGCUGGGGAGACCGCGUGUUGCCCCGCCUGGAGAGACACGUCGAUGGAGGUGGUAGCGUGUGUCGUCCCUUGCCUGUAUCCUCUGGCGUCCAGAGGCGCGUAAGUGGAGAGCAUCGGCGCAGCGCGGGAGCAGCACGUCAGGGUGUAGGGUGUUUGUUUAGCUGGUGUAGGGUGUUAGGGUGUUAGGUGUAACAACGGUUGGCUCUUUCACAGAACGGGUGUGAUUCCGUUCUGCGUUUGAGUCUUCCACCUUCAGACGGUCUCCCUCCGAGAUGUCUGAAGUUUUUUUUGUCGGUUUUCUCCGUAGGAGGAAGCCGACUCUAGCUACUCUGGCCUCUCUUCCGGGGGCCAGAGCGGUCGGGCUCUGCUUGGCCAGGCGUGUUCUUUCGCGUUGUCUCCGCCGAAGUUUUGCCAGACUCUUCCGUAAGGUUGAGCCUGGCUUUUUUAUUAGGUGGAUCAGGCUGCCUUCUUCCAAGGAGUCUGAUGGGGAGUGGAGUCUUUUUUUUGGUGUAUGUCUGUGGGUGCUCAGUGGGUAAGGGAGGGUGGGGUAGAAUGGUUGGUGGGCUGGAAGUGGGUUGGGGGAUGAACCUUCUGGGAUUUGGGUUGUGUCGAGCCUUACCGCCUGGUGUGUUGGGUACACCUUCACGCCAGGGGGGGGGUGCCAAGACCAUAUCCAUUUCCUGGGGCAGGGUGAUUCCCCUUUCCCAUGCUAACUGGCCCUCCUCCGUCUGCCUCCCCAAACCCCCGCUGAGUGCUUGUGUGUGUUAUUUUUAUUUAGGAUGUCUUUUUUUUGUAUGCCUUUUUCCCGUGUGUUUAUACCCAAUAGCUAGCGUGUGUGUGUGUGGCAGUCCGGAGGCGCGAGGCAGCGAGGACAUCACUUCACGUCACUACGGUAUAUCCACGGUAUUUGGUUUAGUGUGUGCUGUGUGUGUUUGUGUGUGUGAUGGCAGGCCUGCCGUGUGUUUGACCUUUUGCUGUGUGUUGCUGUGUGACUGCUAGGAUUUCAUUUCUAUGUAUGUUUUUUUCCCCAUAACCCCCUUCCUCCCUAGCUCUUUAGCUGUUGUCCCAGGAGAGGCGCUGGGUGGAUGCUGCCGGGCGAUCAACGGCGGUGGCGGUGUGCAACGCGGGAGCAGCUGAGGUUGGGUAGCACUACGGUGCAGGUUAUGUAGGGUGUGUGAGUUUUUUUUUUGUGUGUGAGUGUCUUUUUUUUGUGUGGGGUGUUGGCGGGGGACUUAGCUAAUCACUGUGUCAGGAAGGCAUGGGCGUGGCCGUCUGUCCAUCAGGCCGACGGGCGGGUGUGCCACCUGGCAGUCAGGCUAGCAGGUGACAGGCAAGCUAUCUGGUGGUCAGGCUGUCAGUCGGGCCAUCAGAUAGGUAGGCAGGCCACCUUGCGGUCGGGUUGUCGGGCGGGCACGCCACCCUCGGUCAGGUAGGCAGGCAGCAGCGUCUACGCUGAGCCGUACGGCCACACGUACGAACGCACGGAACCCGUACGCUACGUUCCGCCGCACUGACGCUCGUCGUACCUCUGCUCGCACGCUUGCGGGCGGGUGGGGGGCGGGGGGCGGAUGGGCGGACGGGCGGGCGUACGUGGGAACGGGCGGGCGGACGGGUGGUCGGGCGGUUAGGGAGUCGGAGCAACGCUUGAAAGACGCGCAGAUAGAUGUCAGAUUCUCCCGUAGGGAGGUCUGGCAAGGUGAUAGUUUAGGCGGCGGAGUUUUACGCGGGCCAGUCUGUGUUAGAGCUUUGUCGCCAGGGUAGCUCCUUCCGAGCUGCCCAAACUGAGGACCAGUUUUCCUCACAGGAGGAGGCUGGUGGGGCCUAGGGUGUUAGGGGUACGACGGUUGGCUCUUUCACAGAACGGGCGUUUUCCGUUCUGCGUUUGGGUCUGCCGCCUUUGGGCGUCUCCCUCUGAGACGUCGGUUAGGAUUUCUUUUUUUUAUAUGUCCGUGUGUGUAACUGUUGCCUUUUAGCCUGUUGUGUUCCUGAGCAGCAGAAGAGGAGGCUGUGGUGACCCGCCCGAUGCGGAAGGCUUCUGGGCCCUGUCGGCGGGGGCGCACCUCUCUGGCUGACUGGUUGAGGGAGGGCUUCUCGUCUGGCCGGCUGCAAGUUCAGUCCCAGGAUUGAACCCAUGGCUUGCCAGAUGGAGGGCUGCUCCUUUGACCAGGUGGCCGGGGAGGCGCCCCCUCGCUGGGCGGGGUCUGGGGGCCCUCCGUCUUGGGGAGGUCGCUGCAGCAGGAGGAGGUAACUACUGCUGGUUUUGUAAGGCAUUGUGGUUGAGAGCACCUUGCAGCUGUAACGCGAAUUUCGUUCCGUAAUAAACAAUGUACCGCCAUGCUGCCUGUCCUUCCUCCCUCCCAGCACUGUGUAUGUCUGUGUGUGUGUGUGUUUGUUGCUUAAUUCUCCCUCACUGCACUGUGCGUACGUCUGUGUGUGUGUGUUGCUCUGUCUCUCUCUCUCUCUCAAUUUCUCUCUCUGUCUCUCUCGGUCUGUCUCUCAAUCUCCCUCUGUGUCUUUCUCUAUCUCUCUAGUUAGUAAAGAACAGGUAACGUUUGCCAUGGAAGACUCGAGAGUAUACAUAAGACUCUACAGUAUACGUAAGACCCUACAGUGUACAUCCCAACCCUCUACGGCCGUUGCUGCUCCACCCGGGCAUUACCACAUCCACCCGGGUCUACAAGAAACCUCCACGGCCGAGCUUCAACCACAGAACACCUCGUCACCGUUGAUGAGGUUCCACGCCCCGGACCACAGCCAUGUUAGCCUCGAUAAUAAUCCUCGGCGCACUUAUUCUGAGACGUCCUCGUGAGUGAGUGUCCUAAUUGCCUUUACGGAUAAUGUCGCAGAUAUCCAAUGGUUCAGGUGUGACGUCGGAUAUUUUUGUUAUAGUGUCGUAAAUAUUCCGUGAUUAUUUCAGAGUCGCUGAAUGUUCAUCGCACACAGUUUGUCUUUGAGUAGAAACACUGAUUAAUAUCCAUGAUCAGUUAGGUUACGAACUCUGGAUUUCAGACUGGAAAGCUACACAACACCGGUCAUCCACUGAGUGGUUGAUUGCCUGGUCUACCGGCCCCUGGAUGAGUGGUAGAUUGCCUGGUCUACCGUGGAUAUGAGUGGUUGAUUGCCUGGUCUACCCCUGGAUGACACAGCUGUUCCUAUGCAGGGGAGGACUCUCACAAGCGAUAAGCACCUGUUGGACCUGGAGACUCCCCCCUGAGCCUGACGGUGGAGCUGUGGGCCCUGCACCAGACCCCCACCCCCCCCCACACCACCCACAGCAGGGGCAGGGUGUUGAGACUCCCCCCACAGGCUAAGACAGGGAGGAACUUGAAGAUCCAGGUUUUUGUCAUCUGCACAGGAAUUGACACAUGGUAUUUGGGAGCAGGAGCAUCGGCGGAGAUCGAGCUGGCUGAAGGUUGGCAGCCAGGUCAAGCUCGCCUCGGACAAGGAGUUCUGUGAGAUGUGCUCGGCCGAUGUUGUUGACCUCGGCCACAUCAAUGUUACUAAGGUGGUGGAGGUGUGGAAACUACAUCUACAUGGACGACGGACUCAAGGAGAUCGCUGAGACUAUUACUACUACUAUUACUAUUACUAUCCUCUAUACUGCUAUGUGUACUAUUAAAUCCUCUAUACUGCUACUAUGUGUACUAUUGAAUCCCUUAUAUAGUACUUCCAUGACAGCUGAUCGGUGAUAAUACUAUUACUAUGACCACUCAGUCCCUGGUAAGUACAAUGUCAUUAUCAUCAUUAUUUAGGUUAAGGUCCAUUUAAUUCAAUCUUCCUGAGCGGUUGGACGCUUUAUGGCUCUCCUCCAUUCUACUCUGUCUUCCGCCCAAUGCUUAUACAGUCCUAUCAAUCCCAAGUCUUCCUGUACACACCUUCUCCAUGUUUUCCUUGGGCUACCAAUUGGUCUCCUUCCUUCUACCUCCAUUCUACUCUGUCUUCUGCCCAAUGCUCAUCCAAGCCCAUCACUGCAAAGUCUUCCUGUAUACACCUUCUCCACGUUUUUCUAGGUCUACCAACUGGUCUCCUUCCUUCUACCUCCAUUCUACUCUGUCUUCUGCCCAAUGCUCAUCCAAGCCCAUCACUGCAAAGUCUUCCUGUAUACACCUUCUCCAUGUUUUCCUAGGUCUACCAACUGGUCUCCUUCCUUCUACCUCCAUUCUACUGUCUUCUGCCCAAUGCUCAUCCAAUCCCAUCACUUCCAAGUCAUCCUGUACACACCUUCUCCACGUUUUCCUAGGUCUACCAACUGGUCUCCUUCCUUCUACCUCCAAUCUCUCCAACACUCCCAGCACUGUAUCCUUCCCUGCUCUCUUUACAUGUCCAAACCAUUGGAGUCUUUCCCUUCUGAGCACUGUUUCCAGGUCCUCUACUAAAACUUCCAGCACCCGUACUGCGUCACCAUCACCACCCGUACUGCGUCACCAUCACCACCCGUACUGCGUCACCAUCACCACCCGUACUGCGUCACCAUCACCACCCGUACUGCGUCACUAUCACCACCCGUACUGCGUCACCAUCACCACCCGUACUGCGUCACCAUCACCACCCGUUCUGCGUCACCAUCACCACCCGUUCUGCGUCACCAUCACCACCCGUACUGCGUCACCAUCACCACCCGUACUGCGUCACCAUCACCACCCGUACUGCGUCACUAUCACCACCCGUACUGCGUCGCUAUCACAACCCGUACUGCUGCGUCACUAUCACAACCCGGUCUGC